rnacentral:rRNA from 1 species
GGUUUAAUUCGAUGCAACGCGAAGAACCUUACCACUUCUUGACAUGGAGAUUAGAUCCUUCUUAACAGAAGGGCGCAGUUCGGCUGGAUCUCGCACAGGUGCUGCAUGGCUGUCGUCAGCUCGUGUCGUGAGAUGUUGGGUUAAGUCCCGCAACGAGCGUAACCCUCAUCCUUAGUUGCCAGCGGGUUAAGCCGGGCACUUUAAGGAGACUGCCAGUGGUAAACUGGAGGAAGGUGGGGAUGAUGUCAAGUCAACACGGCCCUUAUGGGGUGGGCUACACACGUGCUACAAUGGUGACUACAAUAGGUUGCAACGUCGCAAGGCUGAGC